AAAAAAAUACAUCUGGAAACAAGCCUAAGGGACAAAAUUAAGACAGCCAACUUUGAUUGAAUAGGGAACUGUUUGACACGUACAAUCAGGCUGUGCUAAAUGCUAAAGUGGUAAUACCAGUUCUUAUUUUGCAAUGUAACCCCAAUAAAAUUCAGCUGAAAUUCUUUGCCAGAGGCUGUGUGCCGCUAUGGAGUCAGGCUGCUCAUUUUUUCAACAUGCUUUUAAGCUUUUCGUUAGCUGAUACCAGUUCAGCUGCAACACCAACUUCAUUGGCCGAGUGUCCUGCAUCUGGAACCACCUGCAGUUAUAUGUCCUAGGUCAAUAUUUUAUAUCGAGCAGUUCAGAGAUAGCAAGAUACCCAGAAAGUGAUGCCUGAUUGACCGGUAUGCAUGGCAACGAUGUUUGGAAUGCGUGAAACUUAGCAAACUUAUCAGAAGCAAAGUUGUCGAAACACUGGAAUGUGUGAAACUUAGCAAACUUAUCAGAAGCAAAGUUGUCGAAACACGUGAGCCUGAUUGCUUUCUCUUAGAAAACUUAUCAGAAGCAUGAGUCAAAUAAUGCCAGUCUGAAAGUCAAACAAGAUGGCCUGAACUACCAAAUAUGACAGUUGCUUAAUGCUUCAGAACAAAGUAAGCAGGAAAUGAUGGCAAUGGAACAGGAAAAGCAUGUAGUUUUUGGCGGAGAAGAUUUUGAAAAAUACGGAAAUGAUUGAUGAUGUUUACCUUAAACUCAGCUUCAGGCCAAGCUUUAUGAAGAUCCCAAGCAGACAUCAUAGGACAGCACAUAUCAUACCGCCCCUGCAACAUAAUCACUAUAAUGUACAAAUGUACCUUGUUUGGAAAACCCUUUUUUUUGUUCUAUAUGGAACCUUAAAAACAGUAGUAACAUUAAACUCAUUUAAAGUGUAAACUAGUUAUGUUUGCAGAGCGGUAUAGUAAAGGAAUAUGUAGCCACCUUAUUAGAGCCCAUACAGAAAUGAAAAAUACUGAGUCGUAAAUGAAUUGUGACAAUUUUUCAUUCAUACAACUGACGAAUCAUUGUUUAAGAAUGAAGCUUCUACAAAUUAACUUCUACCAUGAAGAUCAUAUCUCAGCUAAGAAAGGCAGGAAGGGUAGCAAACAUCACUUUGAAGUUUGAACACUUUAGCCGCCAACUGAGCAUAUGAUACUGGCACCCUACUGCUACAUGCUGUAUGUGAACUUGGUAACUGGGAAAGAUUAACAGACUAGGGGAGCUAGACACUAUGUCUAGCUAAAUGCAUUAAAAAAACACAUGGACACACGUAAUGGCAAACCAAGAAAGCUUGAGUAGACAUGUACCUGUACAAUGAAAGUUUUAAUGUGACGAAUCUUGUCGACGUUGUCCAAUAAGUGUGAGUCCGAGUCUAAGAAUCCCUUGUUAAUAAAGUAGUGGUUUUCAAUCCUUGCAAAUGCCUGAAGAAAGUUAAUCAUGUGUUACCAAAUAUACAAUAGAAAGUAUCAAGACAGUAAAGUACUACAACAUCCAAAGUGUGUAUAGACAAACAUCUUGUGGUGUGUAACCUUAAAAGCAAAAGAAGUCAUUGCAGACAUCUAAAGAAACAUUCGACACUUAUCAGUGCACUAGCAUUGGAACAAGGAUUUCAGUUCCAAAAGAGCCCUUCAAAGGCACUAUUGUAUUAUUCCCUAAAAAAUGCUAACAACUGUAAAUAUUUUUUUUAUGAUAAUGAUACUAGUUGGCCAACAGUAAAAAUAAAAUAAUGUAAUCUGAUGAACAUAUGAAGCAACUGUGAUCCCAAAAGGAAAACUUGAUGCUUGUGGAAGUACUUGCCAAUGAAAAUUUGUCAUCCUCCCCUCGUUUAAUGUUCUCGUGAUUUUGAAGAAGAUGUGCAGUCAUCAUCUCCCACGUUGUCCAUCUUUUAGCAGCUUCAAUCUAAAUGGUCAAACAGUCACAAUUAACUUCUGUUCAUCAGGAAACCAAUGUAGGCACCGGUAUAUGUUUCAACCAUAAGCAAUGAAAAGGAGGAAGUAUGUGGAAGCUACAAAAAGGAACCCAUCAAAUAUAUAGCAUAACAUAGAUAGAUGAGUCUACCUGGACAUCAGCAUCAGAGGAAGUUAGCCUUUUGCUGUAAGCAGCUAUGAAACAAUUCCUUUCGUCCUCAGGAAUAAAAUCUCUAAAUGGUUCCCAUGCUGCAUAUUAAAAUUAAAGUAAGCAAAUCUAUUCGCACAACAACUGCAUACUGCAAAAUACAAUGUUUGUGUUUCAGAAGAAAACAUGAGUGGCUUUGGCUAAAAAGGCUGCCUGCUCUUCAAUUCUUUCAGUACUAUUUUGGACAACUUCAACUCUUUGAGUGGAAUUGCUCUAAUGGACAUAAUGAACAGAACUACAUGUAAUUUUUCAAUUGCCUGCUAACAUUUAACCAAGUUUUCUUCAUAAUCAUUAUCAUAGCACAACAUACCAUCUGGGAAAACAGCUGCUGCACCGCCCUCGUAGAACCAAUCAAGCUCCUUUUUCCUAAGCAAGAAAAUGCCUCUUAAAACAAUGCCAGUGACCUGUAAACCAUCAGGGAUAGUAUUAGCAGAGCCUCAAGCUCCUUUUUCCUAAGCAAGAAAAUGCCUCUUAAAACAAUGCCAGUGACCUGUAAACCAUCAGGGAUAGUAUUAGCAGAGCCUACAGUAUACUAACUCUUUUUGCUCCUAAAUUCAGGCUCACACGAGAAUGCGGCAGACAGUAAAUUACUGACCUUAUCAGGGUGAGUCUGGCUGUAGGCGAGGGCCAAGGUGCUUCCCCAUGAACCGCCGAACACCUACAUUAUCCCCCAUAACUAGUGAAUUUAUUUACUGAAUGAUAGCCAUACAAGCAAACAAAUUCCUGAGAAGAAGAUGUAAUUGCAAUUGCCUGCCACUCUGGAAUGUCGAGGUGCUGCCUGAGCUUCUCGAUGUCAGCCACCAGGUCCCAGGUGGUGUUCUCCUCUAGACAAGCAUGGGGAGUGCUCUUGCCGGCGCCUCUCUGCAGUCAAACACAAACGCAAAUUAAGCACCGGCACCGCAGUCGGAUCUCCCCAGAACACGGGUAAACAGAGAUAAGAGGGGAUCGACACUAACCUGGUCGAACAGCACGAUCCUGUAGAACUCCGGGUCGAAGAACCUGCGGUUGCCCGGCGACGUGCCGGCCCCAGGACCCCCGUGGAGGAAGACGACGGGCUGCGGAUAGAACAAAACUCAGCCUGGUUUUGUCAGACAACAAGGAACAGUGGAGGAGGAGGGGGAGGGGGAGGGGCGCAUUGGCGCCGGGGCAGGGGGGUUGGUGGUGGCGCUCACGUGGCCCCCGGGGUUCCCGGACUGCUCGUAGUAGAUGGUGUGGACGUCGGAGACCCUGAGGCGGCCGGUGUCGAAGGGCUCGACGUGCGGGUACAGAUCCUUCCGCGCGGCGGGAUCCAUCUCCGGGCCGGAGACGGAGAGGCUGGCGCUGGCGCCGGAGGAGGAGCGGGGUCGGCGGCGGUGCCUCUGCGGCCUGCCGUGGGCGCGGAGAAGACGGCAGUUCCCUGGGGCCUGUGCUCCUGGAAGAGGGAGAGGGAGAUCUAGUUGUAGAAGAAGGUCAUGGAGAUAAGGCUGGGAUCGUGGGGAUCGAGGAGAUGAUGGCGGUUACCUUGGGGAGGGGGUGGGGGAGGAGGCGGCGGGCGCGAGAGGCGUGCGGGGGCGGGACAGCGGAGGAGGAGGAGGGGAAGAGAGAGUGGGCGGAUCAUUUGGGUGGUUUUCCGUUUCCUUUUUUCGUUUCCGUUCUGGCGAGUGGGGUGUGGAGUGGCGCCCGCCGGUCGAUCCAUCCACUCCACGGCCGGCCGGGUGGCGGGUGGUAAAAAGUGCUCGCGCGGGUGUGUACGAGCAUGAGAAUAAGAGGGAUAUCCACGCGCGCUCCUUCGCCGCCCGUCUCGCCACGCCUCGUCACGACGCGCCGCGCCGCGGGUUGCGGGAAUGAGCCGACCUCCUAUGUUUGAGGGUAUCCACUAUAAGAGGUGGCGCGUGAGAGCAGUCUUAUGGUUUCAAACCAUGAGUUGCUAUGACGCCACUCUCGGCAAACCUGAAGGAGAGCUUGAUCCUCAACAGGCACAAGCUUUUCAGAAAAUGGAUACUCUGUUUAAGGCUGCUCUCUUGAGUGUUCUUGGUGAGAACAUAGUUGAUGCUUAUGCGUCAAUUGAUAAUGGAAAAGAUAUGUGGGAUGCACUCGAGGCCAAGUUUGGGGUCUCGGAUGCUGGCACUGAGUUGUACAUCAUGGAGCAAUUCUAUGAUUACAGGAUGACUGAAGAGCGCUCCGUGGUUGAGCAAGCUCAUGAGAUACAGUCAUUUGCUAGAGAACUUGAGCACUUCAGUUGUAUGCUACCGGACAAGUUUGUUGCCGGAGGUAUCAUCACUAAGCUUCCUCCUUCAUGGAGGAACUUUGCUACCUUGCUGAAGCAUAAGAGGCAGGAGUUUUCCGUCCUAGAUCUCAUUGGCACUCUUGAUGUGGAAGAAAAGGCGAGAGCAAAGGACACACGUGCUCGAGGUAUUGAGGAAGGAUCUAGUGCCAAUGUGGUACAGAAGCAGAACUUUCAGCCCCACAAGUUAAAGAACAAGGGCAAGUUUGAUGGAAAAGCAAAGUUUGAUGGGAAGAACAAGGCUGUGCAACACACGAACUUCAAGAAGAAGAAUGGCAAGAAGAAAGGUGCUUGUCAUGUGUGUGGGGAUCCUGAUCAUUGGGCUCCUAGUUGCCCUAAUCACUUUGACAAGCGUCAUCCUGGGAAAGGCGGCAAGACCGCUAAUGUUGUCAUUGGAGACACUGACAUGAAGGAUGCUGGGUAUGGUAUAUUUCCCACUAUUCUUUCAGUAUGUUAUUCUCCUGACUGGUUGAUUGACACGGGUGCUAAUGUGCAUGUAUGCAGUGAUAUUUCCAUGUUUUCAUCUUAUCAGACCGUAGGGACUUCAACCGUGCUGAUGGGCAACAGUUCAAGUGCUUCUGUUCGUGGUGUUGGCAUGGUCGAUCUGAAGUUUACUUUGGGGAAGAUCGUGCGGCUGAAGAACGUGCAUUAUGUCCCCUCCGUCAAUAAAAAUCUUGUUAGCGGAUCUCUUCUGUGUAGAGAUGGCUACAAGCCUGUCUUUGAGUCGAAUAAAUUUGUAAUAUCCAAGUAUGGAACCUUUGUUGGUAAAGGCUAUGAGUCAGGAGGCUUGUUUCGUUUAUCCUUAUCAGACGUUUGCAAUAAAGUUGUUAAUCAUAUUUGCAACAAUAGUGAAUCCAAUGUGUGGCAUUCACGUCUUUGUCAUGUUAACUUUGGUUGCAUGCCGCGACUAGCGAAGUUGAACUUAAUCCCUAGUUUCACCACCGUCAAGGGAUCUAAGUGUCAAGUGUGUGUGCAAGCUAAGCAACCUCGUAAGUCUCACACGACUGCGGAAAUAAGAAACCUUGUACCACUAGAGCUCAUACAUUCAGAUCUAUGUGAAAUGAAUGGUGUGUUGACAAAAGGUGGAAAGAAAUAUUUCAUGACGUUAAUUGAUGACUCCACUAGAUACUGCCGUGUGUAUCUUCUGAAAUCUAAGGAUGAGGCUUUGAACUUUUUCAAGAUCUAUAAAGCUGAAGUGGAAAACCAACUUGAUCAAAAAUCAAGAGGCUUAGGUCCGACCGUGGUGGAGAGUAUUUUUCCAAUGAGUUUGAUGCUUUUUGUGCAGAACAUGGUAUAAUCCAUGAGAGGACUCCUCCCUACUCACCUCAGUCAAAUGGGGUGGCCGAAAGAAAGAACCGUACUCUAACUGAUUUGGUUAACGCCAUGUUAGAUACAUCGGGUCUCUCCAAGGCAUGGUGGGGGGAGGCGAUAUUGACAGCAUGUCAUGUCCUGAACCGAGUCCCCACAAAGAACAAAGAGAUAACUCCAUUCGAGGAAUGGGAGAAGAAAAGGUUAAAACUCUCUUAUCUGCGAACACGGGGUUGUUUAGCGAAAGUCAAUGCUCCAAUUUCAAAGAAGCGGAAGCUUGGACCAAAGACUGUGGAUUGUGUUUUCCUGGGAUAUGCUUUCCAUAGCAUUGGCUAUAGAUUCUUGGUUGUAAAAUCUGAGGUACUUGACAUGCAUGUCGGUACGAUCAUGGAGUCGAAUGAUGAGACUUUCUUUGAAGAUAUCUUUCCCAUGAAGGAUAUGGCUACCUCAUCUAAUCAGGAGAUGCCUAGUUCAUCGAAUUAGGAACCAGUUACAAUUACCAAACCUACCAUUUCGAUAGAACACUUUGAAAGUCCUGUGGAGGAGAACAAUGAAGUUCCUACUAGGAGAAAGAGAUGAAGGAUUGCAAAGUCCUUUGGUGAUGAUUUUCUUGUGUAUCUCAUAGAUGACACUCCCAGUUCUAUUUCAGAGGCCUAUGCAUCUGAAGAUGCUGACUACUGGAAGGAAGCGGUUCGUAGCGAGAUGGAUUCCAUCUUGGCGAAUGAAACCUGGGAGAUAACUGAUUGUCCUUAUGGGUGCAAACCUAUAGGAUGCAAAUGGGUAUUUAAGAAGAAGCUUAGGCCUGAUGGUACUAUUGAGAAGUACAAGGCUCGGCUCGUGGCUAAGGGUUAUACCCAAAAGGAAGGUGAAGACUUCUUUGAUACUUACUCACCUGUGGCUCGACUGACCACUAUUCCAGUUCUACUUUCACUAGCUGCCUUGCAUGGCCUUCUCGUUCAUCAAAUGGAUGUUAAGACUGCUUUCCUAAAUGGAGAGUUGGACGAGGAAAUUUAUAUGGAACAACCAGAUGGGUUUGUACUAGAUGGUGAGGAAGGGAAAGUGUGCAAGUUGCUGAAGUCUUUGUACGGACUUAAGCAAGCACCCAAACAGUGGCAUGAGAAGUUUGAAAGAACUUUAACAGCUGCAGGCUCUGUUGUGAACGAAGCUGACAAAUGUGUGUACUAUCGCCAUGGUGGGGGCGAGGGAGUUAUCCUGUGCUUGUAUGUUGAUGACAUACUGAUUUUCGGAACAAAUCUGAAUGUUAUUAAGGAGGUCAAGGAUUUCCUAUCUCAUUGUUUUGAGAUGAAGGAUUUAGGAGUGGCUGAUGUCAUUCUGAACAUCAAGUUGUUGAGAGACGAUGAUGGUGGGAUUACAUUGCUUCAAUCUCACUAUGUGGAAAAGAUCUUGAGUCGCUUUGGCUAUAGUGACUGCAAGCCCUCUCCAACACCAUAUGAUGCGAGUGUGUUACUUCGAAAGAAUCAAAGAAUUGCUAGAGAUCAAUUGAAAUAUCCUCAGAUUAUUGGCUCGCUUAUGUACUUAGCAAGUGCUACAAGACCUGACAUCUUUUUUGCUGUUAGCAAAUUGAGUCGGUUUGUCUCAAAACCAGGAGAUGUGCAUUGGAAAGCUCUAGAGAGAGUUUUGCGUUAUUUGAAAGGCACUGCAAAUUAUGGAAUUCACUACACCGGGCACCCAAAGGUGCUUGAAGGGUAUAGUGACUCAAACUGGAUCUCAGAUGCUGAUGAGAUAAAGGCCACGAGCGGUUAUGUAUUCACUCAUGGAGGUGACGCUGUUUCUUGGAAGUCUUGCAAGCAGACCAUCUUAGCGAGGUCAACAAUGGAAGCAGAACUCACAGCACUAGAUACAGCUACGGUCGAAGCAGAUUGGCUUCACCGGCUCUUGAAUGACUUGCUGGUUGUUGAGAAACCUGUACCGGGUAUUCUUAUGAACUGCGACAAUCAAACUGUGAUCACGAAAGUGAGCAGCUCAAAGGAUAACAUGAAGUCAUCAAGACACGUUCAGAGAAGGUUAAAGUCUGUCAGAAAAAUGAGAAACUCCGGAGUUAUUGCAUUGGAUUAUAUCCAAACGUCUAAAAAUCUGGUAGAUCCUUUUACUAAGGGUAUAUCAUGUAAUGUGAUAGAUAAUGCAUCGAGGGAGAUGGGUAUGAGACCCACAAUAUGAGUUGUUCACAGUGGUAACCUAUUCUUUGUGAUCGGAGAUCUCGUGAAUUAGAUGUGGAAGACAAGCUGUUGGUCAACUGGGAGGAGAGUAUCCUUACUGUUAAAAUACCACUCCAUAAAGAUGCAAUACUCUCCUAAUCUGCAUGGUAGGUUGAUGUAUAUCUUAAUGUGUUCUAAGUGGCUCUUUGAAGCAGAGAUGUUGUCCUGCAGAACAUCUUUUGAAGAACGCACCUUUAUGAGUCUGAUUGUUAAACGUCGCAAUCUAUGAGAGUAGGGUUCUCUGUAGUAAACUCAUGAAAGGUCUCGGAGUAUGACGCAUAAGCUUCACCCGCGGGGAAGACCCACGGUAGCCACGUAUCGGUCAAGGCUUUAUGUGAAGCUAGAUUCGCAUAAAACUUGCAGUUCAAGGCCCAGUCCACUGUUCAAGUUGCUUACUAGUGUAGCAUAGAGUUCUAGGUGGAAGUUUAACUUAACAGUCUUCACUGCAGUACCGGUAUAUAAAACAAUGUUUUGGAACCAAAGGCAAAUUUCUGUGUGCCUCUGGGAUCUGGUGGGGGAUUGCUGGAAUUUAGUCCAUUUUGGGCAGCCCAAUAACUAUUUCAGAAAUUCCUAAUAAAUCCUAGAGGCCCACUUAGCCCAUUUGUGCAAGGCAAGGGAUACUACUAAAGUUUAGUCCCACAUUGCUAGUUUAGUGGGAGUUGGACCUCCUUAUAAGGGAGGUUCUUUCCCCACUUGUACGAGCAUGAGAACAAGAGGGAUAUCCACGCACGCUCCUCCUCCGCCGCCCGCCUCGCCACGCCUCGUCACGCCUCAUCACGACGCGCCGGGGUUGCGGGAAUGAGCCGAGCCGAUGUCUAAAUUUUUGCCAUGCACUAUGGGUAUAUGAAAGGUCACUCGGGAGCUGGAAAGUUUUUGCUGUAGUGGAUAUUGAAUACGAACGCUGCACCCUUCGGCUACUGUCUGUUUGUUUCAUCUCCCGCGUUCCCUUCAGCUCCCGGCGCAGCCUCUCACCUCCUUCUCUUGCGCCUAUAAAAGGGAGGUCGCUCCUCUCAGAGAGUGGCACCAGAACUUCUCCUUCCUCUCGCCACCGGUUCCAAUCUCUGAACUGCUGCUGUCUUCCUCAUCCCGUCUUGCGGUGUGCACCGCAGGUCGGGAUAGUAGGCCUCCGAAACCGCACCUCUUUGAGUCCUGUACGGGAGAAGGGUGAUAAGGUUUUUGGGGAGCGCUUUGCGCGACUACUGACUGACUCCUUCGUCACGGACGCCCCGGACUCCGACGACUACUUCCCUGACGAUGACUUCUUCCCCGACGUUGACAUCCUCCUCGACGACAUGGCUGGCGAGGACACCGACCCCAAGUCCAGUGCUACUGCUGCUGCUGUCCCGUAUGUGUUCUUCUUUCUGUUAGAUAUCCCGCCAUAGUUUCUCGUACUAGUACUUGCCCUAAAUAUGUUAGGUUCUACCUCAUAUAUGCAACUAGUUCUACUGUCUGCUAUAGAUAUGAUAAGCUACGGUUCAUAUAUGCAGAAGCUAUUUUCCUUCUCUCUGUCAGAACGCAUGACUUGUUUUAUCUCUACUAUAUUAGUCAUGCUUUAUCUAGUAUUUCUAUUAAUAAAAUCAUUCGGUAAAUUGUUCAUAUUUCCAACACAGAGGGCCUGAUGUCUUGGAGAACUGUAUGACCAAUCUAACCAUCGCCCAUCGUCGAUCACCGUCGCCGCCGCCGGAGAAAGGCGUGGGCCACCUUCACACCAAGAUCUAGAAGAACUCCAUUGCAGACCACACUGAUUUAUGAACCGAUUAAACGACCCACAGAAGACGGCAGAACCGAGUCUCUGUGGCACGUCGGUCGGCCAGGGAUCAUCCCUAAGUCUUCUGGACUUCAUCCGCACUGAUCGGAGAAGAAGAACACCGCCGCAAGCGGCCAUCCGCACACCACACUUCAAGGCACACGCAUACUCUGCACUAGCAGACGUUGUCGCCCAAGAAGACACCAAGCACCAGCCAUCACAACCUACCAUCAGUCAAAGCCAAAGUCCGACGAGACAUAGAGGCUACCUACUUCCUAGCGUUGUCGUUUGAAGCAUCACCAGGAUGGGGAAGAAGCACCACCAAUUUAUUUUAACACGGCGUUGAUUCCACCACCAAUGCAACACCUGUGAAAAAAACUAAGCCUGUCCUAUCUAGUAGCCGAAGUGAAGUGCCGGGGUCCCCAGCCCGUCGGGCCGCCAGAGUGGCAGCCGAAGGGCCAAGUGUUGGGGAACGCAGUAUUUCAAAAAAAAACCUACGAUCACGCAAGAUUUUUCUAGCAGAUGCAUAACAACGAGAGGGGAGAGUGUGUCUACGUACCCUCGUCGACCGAAAGCGGAAGCGUUUAGUAACAUGGUUGAUGUAGUCGAACGUCUUCGCGAUCCAACCGAUCAAGUACCGAAUGCAUGGCACCUCCGCGAUCUGUACAUGUUCAGCUCGGUGACGUCCCUCGAACUUCUAGAUCCAGCUGAGGUCGAGGGAGAGUUUCGUCAGCAUGACGGUGUGUUGACGGUGAUGAUGAAGUUACUGACGCAGGGCUUCGCCUAAGCUCUACGACGAUAUAACCGAGGUGGAAAUAUGUGGAGGGGGGCACCACACACGGCUAAGAUCAACUUGUGUGUCUAUGGGGUGUCCCCUCCCCUGUAUAUAAAGGAGUGGAGGAGGGGGAGGGCCGGCCUCCUAUGGCGCGCCCCAAGGGGGAUUCCUACUCCUACUAGGAGUAGGUUUUCCCCCUUUCCUAGUCCAACUAGGAGAGAAAGGAAGGAGAGGAAGAAGAGAAGGAAAGGGGGGCCGCCCCCUAGUUCAAUUUGGUUUGGGCUAGGGAGCACGCACCCCACCUUGGCCUGCAUCCUCUCUUCCACUAAUAGGCCCAUGAAGGCCCAAUACUUCCCCCGACGAAUUCCCGUAACUCUAUGGUACUCCGAAAAAUACCCGAACCACUCAGAACAUUUCCGAUGUCCAAAUGUAGCCUUCCAAUAUAUCGAUCUUUAUGUCACGGCCAUUUCAAGACUCCUCGUCAUGUCCAAGAUCUCAUCCGGGACUCCGAACAAACUUCGGUCAUCAAAUCACAUAACUCAUAAUACAAAUCGUCCUCAAACGUUAAGUGUGCGGACCCUACAAGUUUGAGAACUAUGUAGACAUGACCGAGACACAUCUCCGGUCAAUAACCAAUAGUGGAACCUGGAUGCUCAUACUGGCUCCUACAUAUUCUACAAAGAUCUUUAUCGGUCAAACCACACAACAACAUACGAUGUUCCCUUUGUCAUCGGUAUGUUACUUGCCCGAGAUUCGAUCGUCGGUAUCACCAUACCUAGUUCAAUCUCGUUACCGGCAAGUCUCUUUACUCGUUCCGUAAUGCAUCAUCCCGCAACUAACUCAUUAGUCACAUUGCUUGCAAGGCUUAUAGUGAUGUGCAUUACCGAGAGGGCCCAGAGAUACCUCUCCCAUAAUCGGAGUGACAAAUCCUAAUCUCGAUCUAUGCCAACUCAACAAACACCAUCGGAGACACCUGUAGAGCAUCUUUAUAAUCACCCAGUUACGUUGUGACGUUUGAUAGCACACUAAGUGUUCCUCCGGUAUUCGGGAGUUGCAUAAUCUCAUAGUCAUAGGAACAUGUAUAAGUCAUGAAGAAAGCAAUAGCAAUAAACUAAAUGAUCAUUAUGCUAAGAUAACAGAUGGGUGUUGUCCAUCACAUCAUUCUCUAAUGAUGUGAUCCCGUUCACAUCAUUAUGCAAGUGGGAGACUGAAGGAAAUAUGCCCUAGAGGCAAUAAUAAAGUUGUUAUUUAUAUUUCCUUAUAUCAUGAUAAAUGUUUAUUAUUCAUGCUAGAAUUGUAUUAACCGGAAACUUAGUACAUGUGUGAAUACAUAGACAAACAGAGUGUCCCUAGUAUGCCUCUACUUGACUAGCUCGUUAAUCAAAGAUGGUUAAGUUUCCUAGCCAUGGACAUAUGUUUCAAUUUGAUGAACGGGAUCACAUCAUUACAGAAUGAUGUGAUGGACAAGACCCAUCCGUUAGCUUAGCAUAAUGAUCGUUCAGUUUUAUUGCUACUGCUUUCUUCAUGACUUAUAUAUGUUCCUCUGACUAUGAGAUUAUGCAACUCCCGAAUACCUGAGGAACACCUUGUGUGCUAUCAAACAUCACAACAUAACUGGGUGAUUAUAAAGAUGCUCUACAGGUGUCUCUGAUGGUGUUUGUUGAGUUGGCAUAUAUCAAGAUUAGGAUUUGUCACUCCGUCUAUCAGAGAGGUAUCUCUAGGCCCUCUCGGUAAUAUACAUCACUAUGAGCCUUGCAAGCAAUGUGAAUAAUGAGUUAGUUAUGGUAUGAUGCAUCAUGGAACGAGUAAAGAGACUUCCUGGUAACGAGAUUAAACUAGGUAUGAUGAUACCGACGAUCGAAUCUCGGGCAUGUAACAUACCAAUGACAAAGGGAACAACAUAUGUUGUUAUGCAGUUUGACCGAUAAAGAUCUUCAUAGAAUAUGUAGGAGCCAAUAUGUAACACCCCGGAUGUAACUUUCCCAAUUUGUACUCCAACUCUUGCCGUUUCCGGUGUUAAGUUAUUUUAUUUUCUCGGGUUCGGGUUUUUUUUGUCUCCGUGUGUUGUUAUCGUUGUCAUGCAUCUCAUAUCAUGUCAUCAUGUGCAUUGCAUUUGCAUACGUGUUCAUCUCAUGCAUUCGAGCAUUUUCCCCGUUGUCCGUUUUGCAUUCCGGCGCUUCGUUCUUCUCCGGUGGUCAUUUCUACCUUUCUUUCGUGUGUGGGGAUUAAACGUUUCCGGAUUGGACCGAGACUUGUCAAGCGGCCUUGGUUUACUACCGGUAGACCGCCUGUCAAGUUUUGUAUCAUUUGGACUUCGUUUGAUACUCCAACGGUUAACCGAGGGACCGAAAAGGCCUCGUGUGUGGUGCAGCCCAACACCCCUCCAAUUUGGCCCAAAACCCACCUAAGCCUUCUCCAUCAUCUUGAUCGUUCGAUCAUGAUCGCGUGGCCGAAAACCGCACCUCAUUUGGACUCUCCUAGCUCCCUCUAUGCCUAUAUAUACACCCCCCAUUCCAAAUCUCGGAUCUCCUCUCUCUAAUCCUAAAAAAAACUGCUCCCCUCGCCGUCGGACGUGUUCGAUUCAGGCCGGACACNNNNNNNNNNNNNNNNNNNNNNNNNNNNNNNNNNNNNNNNNNNNNNNNNNNNNNNNNNNNNNNNNNNNNNNNNNNNNNNNNNNNNNNNNNNNNNNNNNNNNNNNNNNNNNNNNNNNNNNNNNNNNNNNNNNNNNNNNNNNNNNNNNNNNNNNNNNNNNNNNNNNNNNNNNNNNNNNNNNNNNNNNNNNNNNNNNNNNNNNNNNNNNNNNNNNNNNNNNNNNNNNNNNNNNNNNNNNNNNNNNNNNNNNNNNNNNNNNNNNNNNNNNNNNNNNNNNNGCGCCGCCCGCCGCCCGGCCGCCGCCGCACCGCCUCCCGCGCCCCUUGGCGUCCGUGCCUGGCCGCGCCUCCCCGACCUCCUCCUCCUCUCCCUCGUCGCCGGCGCCCCUCUCCGGCCACCGCGGCCCGCAGCUCCGGCGAGAGUCCGGCCGUCCUUGUUUUCCGUGUCGCCCGAUCCAGAUCUGGAAAACCCUAGCCGGUUGACUUUUUGCCCGUCCUAGUUAUUUUUUUGCAACGUUCAUGGCCUCGUAACUUUGCAUCCGUAGCUCCGAUUCAUGCAUAUAGCAUAUCAAAAUGUUCAUAUAAGAGAGUACAUCAUUUCAUUCCAUUGCAUCAUUUUCAUUUGAGUUCAUCUUGAUGCCCGAAAUGCUAUUAGAAGAGGGCUACUUGAGAUAAUUGUCAGAUCUGCUGCUCCAUUUAGCUUUUUGUCAUUUUUGCCAUGAUUAAUGUGUGCAUGAUAUGCCCUGAUGCUCUACAUAUGUUUUGUUAAGGGUUUUGUCAUCUUUCCAGAGGUGCAACCCAUGUAUUUUUGUGAUGUGUGUGGUGCCUAGCACAAGCUUGCAAAGUGGUGCACUUGUUAAUUCUGAUUUCAGGGACUUAGCAUUUCCACUAAGUCCUUGAGCUGUUUAUUUCAUAUUGCCAUAUGUUCAUGUUGUUUCCUAGUGAUUCGUGCCUCUUUUGAGGAUGAUCAGUAAGGAUGUUUUGUUAAUCUUGUAGUGCUCUAUCCAUCCAUGCCUUUGUUUGCAAUUAUGGAGCACCCUAGCUUGAGUCAAUCGAGCUCUACUUUUGCUACUUUGUGAAUCUAGGCAGAUUGUCAACUUGUUUGCAAUUUUGCCGGUGAUGUUGUAGUUGAUCCGUGCAUGCUAUGCUUUUGUUCUGGCCAUGUCUAGCUUGCAUUUUGUGUGUUCUUGAUAGAUGUAUGCUUGUCUUGCCAUGAUUUGCUCCGUAGUGAGUGAAUCGAGCUCGUAAACAUGCCUACUUGAGUUAUGUUUCAGCAUGCGCCAGUUUUCACUAAGUCUGAAAACUGAUUAUGUUUUUGCUAUGUUCACAUGCUUGCAAUGGUAUUUUUCUGAUCCCUUUUGGCUCAAGGUCACUAAGGGACUUUUGUUAAGGUCUUUGAGUAGCUCCAUGCCAUGCUUUACUUUGCCAUGUUCAGAUCCUGUAGCAUGUAGUUUUGUUGCUCUGAAGAGUGCUACCUGAUCUGAAAUUCCAGACAGUGUUAAUUUCACUAAGUGUGAGAUCUGUUUACCAUAUGCAUUUUUGCCAUGCUUGUUUGAACCUGUUAAUGGAUGAAUUGGCCGUAGCUCAGUGCUAGACUUUUGUUAAGCAUCUUGAAUGCAUCCCUGCCAUGUAUUUUGUUGCCAUGUUUGGGUGCUGUAGCAUGUUCAUAUCAUUGCAUUUAGAUGGCUACUUGCUGUAAAUCGCAGAACGUGGCCAUAUUUGAAUCGCUUGCCAUUUCCAAACCGUAACUCCGAUCCCGACGUUUUUUAUAUCGUUUUCAAGCGAUUUCAUCUCAUCUUUCUAGUGGCACACUUGGAUUUCCAAGUUGAGGCCAGGUUCUUGCAUUUCCUGUCAUAUCUUGCAUAUGCAUCCCGCAUCGCAUCCCGCAUAGCAUAUCAUCUUUGCAUCAUAUUGUUUGAUCCUUGCACGUGGUUGAUUGUUCCUUGUUGCUUGUUUGUCUUGUUUGGGUAGAGCCAGGAGACGAGUUCGCUAAUGAGGAGCCCGUUGAGUUUGCUUUCGAGGAUCCAGUCAACUCUGACAACUGUGCAGGCAAGAUGAUCAUACCCUCGAAAUCACUACUAUCUUUGCUAUGCUAGAUUGCUCGCUCUUUUGCUAUGCCAUUGCUACGAUGCCUACCUCUUGAUUUCAAGCCUCCCAAAUUGCCAUGUCAAACCUCUAACCCACCAUGUCCUAGCAAACCAUUGAUUGGCUAUGUUACCGCUUUGCUCAGCCCCUCUUAUAGCGUUGCUAGUUGCAGGUGAAGAUUGAAGGCUGUUCCUUGUUGGAACAUUUAUUUACUUGUUGGGAUAUCAUUAUAUUACCUUGUUAUCUUAAUGCAUCUAUAUACUUGGCAAAGGGUGGAAGGCUUGGCCUCUCGCCUAGUGUUUUGUUCCACUCUUGCCGCCCUAGUUUCCGUCAUAUCGGUGUUAUGUUCCCGGAUUUUGCGUUCCUUACGCGGUUGGGUUAUAAUGGGAACCCCUUUGUAGUUCGCCUUGAUUAAAGCUUUUCCAGCAAUGCCCAACCUUGGUUUUACCAUUUGCCACCUAGCCUCUUUUUCCCUUGGGUUUCCGGAGCCCGAGGGUCAUCUUAUUUAACCCCCCCGGGCCAGUGCUCCUCUGAGUGUUGGUCCAAAUAGAGCCACUUGCAGCGCCACCUCGGGGCAACUUGAGGGUUGGUUUUAGUUGUACGUAGUGUUCAUCUGAGUGUGCCCUGAGAAAGAGAUAUGUGCAGCUCCUAUCGGGAUUUGUCGGCACAUUCGGGCGGUGUUGCUGGUCUUGUUUUAACCUGUCAAAGUGUCUUGAAUAACCGAGAUACCGAGUCUGAUCGGAACGUCUUGGGAGGAGGUCUAUUCCUUCGUUGACCAUGAGAGCUUGUCAUGGGCUAAGUUGGGACUCCCCUGUAGGGAUUUGAACUUUCGAAAGCCGUGCCCAUGGUUAUGGGCAGAUGGGUAUUUGUUAAUGUCCGGUUGUAGAUAACUUGAACCUUAACUUAAUUAAAAUGAAUCAACUGAGUGUGUUACCGUGAUGGCCACUUCUCGGCGGAGUCCGGGAAGCGGACACAGUGUUGGAGUAAUGUUUGCGCAGGUCGCUCUCUAGUUUCUCGCUCGCGCUUCGCCUCCUCUUCUCGCUCUCUUUUGUGAAUAAGUUAGCCACAAUAUUUGCUAGUCGCUUACUGCAGCUCCACAUCAUUUACCCUGCCUUACUUAUAAGCUUAAAUAGUCUUGAUCGUGAGAGUGCGAGAUUGCUGAGUCCCUGUGGCUCACAGAUUACUAUUACACCAGAUGCAGGGCCCGAUGAUUCCGCUCCAGGAGACGUGUUUGAGCUCAAGUGGGAGUUCGACGAAGACUCUCAACGUUACUAUGUUUCCUUUCCUGAUGAUCAGUAGUGUUGCCCAGUUGGGGGUGAUCGGGACCGUUGUCGCAUGUUGGGUUCUCUUUUAUUUUGGCGCCGUAGUCAGGCCAUGAGUGUUUGGAUGAUGUAAUGUUAUUUAUGUACUUGAUUGACGUGGCGAGUGUAAGACAACUAUGUUAUCUCCCCUUUAUGAUUUAUAUUACAUGGGAUGAUGUGAAGAUUGCCUAACUUGCGACAUAUGCCUUCAAUGCGAUUAUGCCUCUAAGUCGUGCCUCGACACGUGGGAGAUAUAGUCGCAUCGAGGGUGUUACAAGUUGGUAAUCAGAGCCUUCCCCGACCUUAGGAGCCCCAUUGCUUGAUCAUUUUUAGCGGCCGAGUUGUGUCUAGAAAAAUGUUUUGAGUCAUUUAGGAAUUAUAUAUCGGAGAGUUUAGGAAUUCUUUUUACUUCCCAGUCUCCUCAUCGCUCUGGUAAGGCAUCCUGACAUAGAGUUUUGACUCUUCUCUUCUCAAAUUUCACAUUUUUUUAGGAUCACGCGGGUAUCUUGGAAUCGUUCCGAUGGUUUUAUGAUGAGAACAUUGUCUUGGUGCCUCCUGUCAGGGGUUUUGUGGAAGUGUCCCGGGGAGUUGAGCUCUAAGGUGUUGUCAUCAUAAUUUUAUCGCUGCAGUUCUGGAAUACCUGAGUUUAGUAUGCCGACAUCGAAAAUAUCUUUUAUGCAGUUCGUUGGUGAGAUAACCUCGACGCCACCCAGUACUGGGGCAGGAGUUCGGGAGUAUCGCCAUAAAUUGUAUAACGGAUGUUUUUUGAAGGUUGAGGUAGAUGGUUUCUGAAGGUUUCUUGGUUAUGUGUUGAAGGAUGGAUACAACUAGAUGUAGGAUUUGCUAGAUUUGGGUGAGAUAUUAUGCUUCCCCUGUAUCCCCAACACCUGAUUGCAUAACCGGAAAGGUUCGGGAGUUUCAUAGGUGGGAAUUCUAGUAGCUCUAGAUCUUCUUCCACGGAUAUUGGUUUGAGAUUGGGAUUUCUUACCGAUUAUUCGUUCUUGAUCCGUACCUUGUUGAUUUAUUUCUCUACCUUAAUUCUACGUGGCUUCUCAAUUUAUGGAUAUGUGACCAUUUCAAGAGGAAUGCAUUCGUUCAUUUUGUUCGGAUGUGAAGACUAUAUGUUGCAAUUUUCAUUCCAUUGGAUUCAGCUUCAAUAUUUGUCUGUCAAUGUGCUAAUGGUGGUCAACCUCUUCAGGAUGGCUCCUCCAACGCGCACGACUCCGAAUCCUGAUCCGCCACCACCUCCACCUCCUCCGGAGGCAUGGCAAGCUGUGAUGGCCGCAACCAAUGCAAACACACAGUUGAUCAUGCAAAUUCUUCAAGAGCGCAAUCAAGGCAACCAAGGGAAUCAAGGCAACAAUCAAAAUCACUUUUCUACACUCAUCCAGUUCCUUGCUAAUAGGCCAAAGACCUUCAGCAAUUGUGUUGAGGCAACCGAUGCUGACGAUUGGCUAGUGGAUCUGUGCAAGCAUUUCGAGUGCAGUAAUGUCAGGCCUGAGGACUUUGUCAAGUUCGCUUCCUUCCAACUCAAAGAUCAAGCUGC
rnacentral:lncRNA from 1 species